rnacentral:rRNA from 1 species
UACGGGAGGCAGCAGUGGGGAAUAUUGCACAAUGGGCGAAAGCCUGAUGCAGCUAUGCCGCGUGUAUGAAGAAGGCCUUAGGGUUGUAAAGUACUUUCAUCGGGGAGGAAAAAACAAAACUAAUAAUUUUAUUUCUUGACGUUACCCGAAAAAGAAGCACCGGCUAACUCCGUGCCAGCAGCCGCGGUAAUACGGAGGGUGCUAGCGUUAAUCAGAAUUACUGGGCGUAAAGAGCACGUAGGUGGUUUUUUUAAAGUCAGAUGUGAAAUCCCUGGGCUUAACCUAGGAACUGCAUUUUGAAACUGAAAUACCUAGAGUAUCGUAGAGGGAGGUAGAAUUCUAGGUGUAGCGGUGAAAUGCGUAGAUAUCUGGAGGAAUACCUGUGGCGAAAGCGGCCUCCUAAACGAAUACUGACACUGAGGGUGCGAAAGCGUGGGGAGCAAACAGGGAUUAGAUACC